GAUUAUGGCUCAGGAUGAACGCUAGCGACAGGCUUAACACAUGCAAGUCGAGGGGCAGCAUAAAAGUAGCAAUACUUGGUGGCGACCGGCGCACGGGUGAGUAACGCGUAUGCAACCUACCUAUCAGAGGGGAAUAACCCGGCGAAAGUCGGACUAAUACCGCAUAAAACAGGGGCACCGCAUGGUGAUAUUUGUUAAAGAAAUUCGCUGAUAGAUGGGCAUGCGUUCCAUUAGGUAGUUGGUGAGGUAACGGCUCACCAAGCCGACGAUGGAUAGGGGAACUGAGAGGUUGGUCCCCCACACUGGUACUGAGACACGGACCAGACUCCUACGGGAGGCAGCAGUGAGGAAUAUUGGUCAAUGGGCGGGAGCCUGAACCAGCCAAGUCGCGUGAAGGAAAGAAGGAUCUAUGGUUCGUAAACUUCUUUUGCAGGGGAAUAAAGUGCAGGACGUGUCCUGUUUUGUAUGUACCCUGAGAAUAAGGAUCGGCUAACUCCGUGCCAGCAGCAGC
rnacentral:rRNA from 1 species